GACGAACGCUGGCGGCGUGCCUAAUACAUGCAAGUCGAACGCAGUGGGGACGGGUGAGUAACACGUUGGUAACCUCCCAUCAGAGGGGAUAACACUUGGAAACAGGUCCUAAACUGAUACUGAUAGAUGGACCCGCGGUGAAUUAGCUAUUUGGUGAUGUAACGGCUCACCAAGGCCACGAUGCAUAGCCGGCCUGAUAUGGUUAUCGGCCACACUGGGACGUGUACACGGCACAGACUCCUACGGGAGGCAGCAGUGGGGAAUCUUCGGCAAUGGACGAAAGUCUGACCUAGCAACGCCGCGGGAGUGAAGAAGGUUUUCGGAUCGUAAAACUCUAUUGUUAGAGAAGCGGUAUCUAACCAGAAAGCCACGGCUAACUACGUGCCAGCCGCCGCGGUAAUAC
rnacentral:rRNA from 1 species